GUGAACGCUGGCGGUAGGCCUAACACAUGCAAGUCGAACGGCAGCACCGUAAGAGCUUGCUCUUACGGGUGGCGAGUGGCGGACGGGUGAGGAAUACAUCGGAAUCUACUUUUUCGUGGGGGAUAACGUAGGGAAACUUACGCUAAUACCGCAUACGACCUACGGGUGAAAGCAGGGGAUCUUCGGACCUUGCGCGAUUGAAUGAGCCGAUGUCGGAUUAGCUAGUUGGCGGGGUAAAGGCCCACCAAGGCGACGAUCCGUAGCUGGUCUGAGAGGAUGAUCAGCCACACUGGAACUGAGACACGGCCCAGACUCCUACGGGAGGCAGCAGUGGGGAAUAUUGGACAAUGGGCGCAAGCCUGAUCCAGCCAUACCGCGUGGGUGAAGAAGGCCUUCGGGUUGUAAAGCCCUUUUGUUGGGAAAGAAAAGCAGCAGGUUAAUACCCCGCUGUUCUGACGGUACCCAAAGAAUAAGCACCGGCUAACUUCGUG
rnacentral:rRNA from 1 species